GCUCAUCCUGUGACUUGACCAGUUUUCAGAUGGAUUUCUACACCAGCAACAGACGUGCCACACUUGCUCUUCUGGAGAUGGUCGAUUUCAUCGAUGAUCUGAUGGAUGCUCUGCUCGAUGAUCGGAUGGGUGUUCAGACCGAAGCUCUGAUCCAUGCUCUGAUCCAUGCUGGGCUCAAUGUUCUGGGCAAUGUUUGGAUCGGUUUUGGGAAACCUGCUCUGAUCGAUGAUCUGAUCGUUGCUCUGAUCAAUUUUCAGACGGAUGAUCUGAUGCAUACUCUGAUUGAAGCUCUGAUCAAUUUUCGUAUUGAAGCUUCGAUCUGUGCUGCUCCGAUCUAUACUUUCCCCACUCUGCGCUCAACGUUCCUUUGUAUCUUCGAUCAGCCACCCAAAAAUACUCUUCAGCUCUUCUUCUCCGCCAUGCCAUCUGAUCCAGGCCAGAAGCAAUGGGUAGACAAGGGCAGAUGCUUGGUGCGACCACAAAAAGACCAAAUUGCUACUACUCCUCCUCCGGAUGUGUGGUUUUCAGCCUCCCCUUGGGGCGAGGACUAUAACAAGGACCAGGUAACGGAUGGAGAACACAAGGACCAUAUGGAGACCUAUGUGCCAUCGCUGCCGUCUUGUUACUGCUGCUGGGAGUUUCCAGACAGAUAG
rnacentral:lncRNA from 1 species